rnacentral:rRNA from 1 species
AGUGAACGCUGGCGGUAGGCCUAACACAUGCAAGUCGAACGGCAGCACAGUAAGAGCUUGCUCUUACUGGUGGCUUGUGACGGACGGGUGAGGAAUACAUCGUAAUCUACUUUUUCUUGGGGGAUAACGUAGGGAAACUUACGCUAAUACCGCAUACGACCUACGGGUGAAAGCAGGGGAUCUUCGGUCCUUGCGCGAUUGAAUUAGCCGAUGUCGGAUUAGCUAGUUGGCGGGGUAAAGGCCCACCAAGGCAACGAUCCGUAGCUGGACUGCGAAGAUGAUCAGCCACACUGGAACUGAGACACGGUCCAGAGUCCUACGGGAGGCAGCAGUGGGGAAUAUUGGACAAGGGGCGGAAGCCUGAUCCAGCGAUACCGCGUGGGUGAAGAAGGCCUUCGGGUUGUAAAGCCGUUUUGUUGGGAAAGAAAAGCAGCAGGUUAAUACCCCGCUGUUCUGACGGUACCCAAAGAAUAAGCACCGGCUAACUUCGUG